ensembl:lncRNA LINC00841 long intergenic non-protein coding RNA 841
AGGGUGGCAUAGACGGCGAGCCCAGGGAGGCCACUGACAUGCAUUCAAGAGAAAAGAAAAGAAGCCAGGCUUUGGCAUAAGUGCUUCAUGGUGGAGUGAGAAUGGCUUGCCCUGGAAGGGUCAUGUUUUAGAAGGAGUGAUCUUCAUUGUGAAGUCUAAACUGUUCUGGAAAUAUAAGCUUUGAAACCCAGGGCUGCCAACAGGGUCUAAAAUGAGACCACAAGGCUCUCCUUGACAGGAGUGGUGUGCUUAAAGACAAAGUCACCUGCAAGUACUGAAUUCUCACAGGAAGUCUCAGACGAAGACACUGCUAACUCCACUUUCAGAGAGAAACACUGAGGCUCAGAGCUAAACUAACUCGCCUCAGAGCCCACAUCCUGGACUUGAGCCUCAGGGUGUUGCAUGCCAAAGCCUGUCCUCUUCACCCCAGCUUCCUGGGCAUUGGAGCGGAUCCAUAGUGUUAGAUAUGCAGUGGGAAUGGCCCCCAUUCCAAGCCACUUCCUGACCUGAUGGCAGCACCCUGCUAGUCCUCACAUGGAGCCCUGGAGAAGCCGGGUUCCUUAACCCAGAUUUGAAUCAAUAGCCUCACACCUGGUAUGCACAUCCAGGCCAAGUGUGGCUGAAUGGGGAGCAUCUGUUCUGGAGACGGCCACCCUCAUGGGCUCCUCUGCUUCCUGUCCCUUCGGGCACUGAUUUAUGGCACACAGCAGGGAAGGGCCUGAGCUUGAGCCCUGACCAUCGUUAUCAUCACCAUCUUCAUUCCAGUGCAGUGAAGAACAUUCUGAAGGUAGAGAUGAAGGUCUUCUUUCUGAAUGAAGCUCCUUGCAUGAUUCAGGGAUCUUCCUCUUGAAGGCACCAAUCAUUUUGACUUUAAUGCAUGCACUCUGACUUACUUGUGGUGAUCUCUCCUGGAAAUACAUGGAAAAAUGAAAAAUAGGCUAACUGGGGAGAUUUCUUAAAUACCAGUUUGUAUGGCUGUGUUAACCUGAAUGAUUAAAUAUAGGAUUGUUUUUUAAGUUA